rnacentral:rRNA from 1 species
GAUGAACGCUGGCGGCGUGCCUAAUACAUGCAAGUCGAGCGAACAGACGAGGAGCUUGCUCCUCUGACGUAGCGGCGGACGGGGGAGUUACACGUGGAUAACCUACCUAUAAGACUGGGAUAACUUCGGGAAACCGGAGCUAAUACCGGAUAAUAUAUUGAACCGCAUGGUUCAAUAGGGAAAGACGGUUUUGCUGUCACUUAUAGAUGGAUCCGCGCCGCAUUAGCUAGUUGGUAAGGUAACGGCUUACCAAGGCGACGAUGCGUAGCCGACCUGAGAGGGUGAUCGGCCACACUGGAACUGAGACACGGUCCAGACUCCUACGGGAGGCAGCAGUAGGGAAUCUUCCGCAAUGGGCGAAAGCCUGACGGAGCAACGCCGCGUGAGUGAUGAAGGUCUUCGGAUCGUAAAACUCUGUUAUUAGGGAAGAACAAAUGUGUAAGUAACUAUGCACGUCUUGACGGUACCUAAUCAGAAAGCCACGGCUAACUACGUGC